GGCGCAGGUUUUCCGCCUCCAAGCCGGGCUUCCUCCCCCCCUCAUCCCGGGGAAACGGGAUACCCUCCCCGAGGACGCCCACCCCCGCUUUCCACUUUCGUCCCCCUCAGGGCCGGGGACAGGAAAUGGCCGCGCCCUCCCAUCCGCCCACACAGAGGCCUCCUCGACCUGGUUAGCAUGAUGGAAUCAAGUUGGAACAAGAAACCACACUGGUCAAGUGUGGUCAAGCCUUAACCCUGCUCAUAUACAUGCAUUACUGUCACUGAAAAUGUAUACUGACUAGUUUGGAUUGAGUUCCCACCCAGGAAAACUGCGACUGGCAAAGCCAGGAUCCACCUUAUCAGCAACCGCCUCCCGGGGCCUUGAGAUCCAAAUUACCAGCAACCUUAGCAGCAACCCAUCACCGACCACUGCCCGUAGCCUUAAAACCCCAUACGUGCGCUUGCUGAAGACUUCUUCAGCCACAGAGAGUCCUCCGGAUGACCCGGAGCCGAUAACGAAGGCGGUUGGCAUAUGAUGAGGGGAUAAUGAAGACAACAACAAACAGCGUCGGAGUGGCACAGAAUAUGCCAGUCCAGAGCACGAACCUCUAGGACUUGAGGGGAAGGGGCAGACUAGAGGGAGGGACGUGGUGCUACAUCAUUCAGGAAAAUGGGGCCAGAAAGAAAUAUAAGGAUGGACUCAUCCUCAGUUCUUUGCUUUUGGCUACCAAAUGGCCACUGACCUUUUGUUGCAACAAAAUGAAUAAGAGCUUGGCCUAA